UACGUAGGGUGCGAGCGUUGUCCGGAAUUAUUGGGCGUAAAGGGCUCGUAGGCGGUUUGUCGCGUCGGGAGUGAAAACCUCGGGCUUAACUCGGGGCUUGCUUUCGAUACGGGCAGACUGGAGGUAUGCAGGGGAGAACGGAAUUCCUGGUGUAGCGGUGAAAUGCGCAGAUAUCGGGAAGAACACCCGUGGCUAAGGCGGCUCUCUAGUACGGUACUGACGCUGAGACGCGAAAGCGUGGGGAGCGAACAGG
rnacentral:rRNA from 1 species